CCGCAUAGAAUGGUUGGGUCUCCACAAAAUAUUGGGAAGGAGAAAGCAACUAUUAUGAAUACCCAAACGAGAAGAGGAGACACAGAAUAUUGGGAAGGAGAGAUCGAAUCAGGCUGAUUAAACCUCAGCAUCGGUGCCUUCUGCAGAUUCCCCUCCUUCUUGAAGUAGGCACGGUCCCGGAAUUGUUAUCCGGUAUCUGACUAAUUAUGGUUCCAGGGGUCCAUUCACUUGCAAUUGUCAUGACUGAAACAGAAAGAGGAAGACUUGAGCAAUACAAAGGUCUUGAUGUUUUGGAAUUUAUAUAAGGGGUUCAAACCAGGUGAAUGGACAAUAUAUAUCACUGCAAGAAAGAGAUUGGUUUAGCAAUUUAUUUGGAUUUGCUUACUGAAUGAUUUUGAUUCCACGUGUAGUAAUGGAUCCAUUGCAAUCACUAUGCGGAAGGAAAUAACGAGGUUAUCUGAUGAAUGUGUAUGUAAUUGCUUAGUGUUACUGAUUUGAGUCUCCUUUCUUUUUUUUUCUUUUCUUUUUUUUUCUUUUUUUUGCUUAUUAAUAUAUAUUUUAAGCUGUGGGAGGGGAGAAACAUGAGUUCUCUUCAUGUCCUUGUGUGUUUUUUUACUCUCACUUUUAACACUCAUUGUUAGACUUACUGUUUCGUGCAUCCAUUACUUAUUAUGGACUACAAUACCAUUUUCUUUUUUGGUGAAGGACUAUGAUACUCUUUAGACUAGCAAGAAACAUGGGACAACUGCAUUCUUUAUGUCAUCCUCAGUUGGUAUGUGUGUACAGUAAUGGCAACGAUAUUAUGCCUAGAAUAUUCCUUCCCAAGGGAAGAGGUUUCAAGCAGUCAUUAGAGAUGGCAACUAGAGAAAGACUCGCCCCUCAACUUGCUACUGCCUAAACUGUUAAAAGCAAUGUAUUGGUAGUUAAACUUAUAAAAGAUAUUUAUGCUGUUUGUGGUAAAUGGUACUAGGCAAUCAAUUGUAUCUUUUUUAUUUU